AACACAUUCACUGUUAAAAGUUCCCUUUCUCUUUUGCAGGAUCAGAAUAGAAUUCACUGUUUUAUUAAUGACCGGUGGACGUCAACUGGAAAUCGUACAAGAGUAUUGAGGAUUUCGUGACUGAAUCUUCCCACUCAAUUCGCUUCCUCUUGUUUUCUGGAUCCUGUCUUCUUGCCACUUUCCAUUUGCUGUUGUACUUCCCUUCCAUCCAGACAACUCCUACCUCUGAAUCUGAGAUCGAUCGAAGUUGAGCAAUCCAUGGCUCGAUGUUACUGCUUGGACAGCUUCUGACUGCCAGCAACUGAUCAAUCUUGAGACCUGCUAAAUCCUGCACCUCCCUAACGUCUGUCCGUGAUUGCUUUCGCAAAUAGAGCUUGAAGCUGGGUAUUCUGAGGCGCAUCACAGCUCAUAUCUGCUGAUCCUGAGGCUGGGAGUUGGGCCAGUUGACGAACUGUGUAAUAAUUAUUAGAAUAUAAGUGAUAUACGUAAUGUAAAGUAUAUUAUGGUGUUACGUAUAUAAUUCUGAUUGAAAUGAGAGUUUGCUCACC